CUCGGGGCUGGAGGGCGGGGCUUCUUAGCGGAAGCGCACCCUCCAAGUCCUGGAACUCGGACUCUUCCUCCGGGCAGCUUUGGGCUGGGGAAUGGGAAGACCCUCCCCAGAUAAGGGCCUCCGACCUUUAGAAACCAGAGGACUGGAGCCGCCUCAGGUGCACUGAGGAAGGCAGCGGUUGCCUGCGUUGAGACCUGUGCGGCGAGGAGCUCCGCACAGCGGUCGCCGCUGCAGAGGACCCAGGCGCUGGUCUGCCGGGCAGUGCGUGUCCCCAUGUGACCCGCGCACUGCGGGGACCUAAGGGGCACGCCCGGGAUCUGCCACCUCUGCAGAGGGCGCGAAUCUGCAAGGCCUGCGCGACUCCUGCCACCUCGGCCCUGCAUCCGUGCGGGGCUGUAACUCGAAAGGAAGCGCCGCUCUUGUCGCCUUCCUAGAGGCGGGGGGAGCUGGAGGUGGCCAGCCUGUGUCUGCCCAGCAGGAUGCGGAGCCCUCCGUCGCCCGGCGUCUUCCCCUUCGCGUCCGGAGGCGACAGAGCGACCUCUGCAUCUCAGGUGCUGGGAAACAGGAACGCCUCACCGAGGAGGAAGGGAAGCGCCGAGGUCACCAAGAAACGGAGAAUGUCAAGUAUAUGGGCUGCGGUCCUCCGUCCUUGGGUGACCCCUACAGAUGGACAGAUGGAGGGAGCGCACUAUACUAAAGUGGCCUCGGGAGAAAUAACUUCCGUUUUGUGUCAUAACCUUAAAAAUCAAAACCUGAAACGGAAGGGAAAACCACAUGUACUCCUGAGAGCUGCUCGACACCUGUUAAUUUUAAAUGUGUUGUUCUUCUAGGGGUUACUGGGGGAAUUCCAACGCUCGGGAGGCAGAAGGGGCUCUGGAGUUCCAGGCCAGCAUGGUCUACACACUGAGUUCCAGACUAGCAAGGACUACGCAUCUUUUCUGUGAUGGUUUGAAUAUGCUUGGCCCAGGAAGUUGCAAUAUUAGGAGGUGUGGCCUUAUUGAAGGAAGUGUGUCACUGUGAACCAGCGUGGGUGUAGGAGCCUUGUCCUAGCUGCCUGGAAGCCAGUCUUCUAGCAUCCCUCAGAUGAAGAUGUAGACCAUUCAGCUCCUCCUGCACCAUGAUUACCUGAAUGCAACCAUGUUCCCACCGUGAUGAUAAUGAACUGAACCUCUGAACCCAUAACCCAGCCCCAGUUAAAUGUCCUUAUAAGAGUUUCCUUGGAUCCUGUCUAGAAAAACCAAAAAAAAAAAAAAAAAAAAAAAAGUUUCCUCCGUGGGCUGGAGAGAUGGCUCGGCGAUUAAGAGCACUGACUGCUCUUCCCGAGGUCCUGAGUUCAAAUCCCAGCAACCACAUGGUGGUUCACAACCAUCUGUAAUGGGGAUCUGAUGCCCUCUUCUGGUGUGUCUGAAGACAGCUACAGUGUACUUACAUAUAAUAAAUAAAUAAAUCUUAAAAGAAGAAGGAAGAAGAUAAUGAUGAUCAUCACUGAGGUGAAAUCUUCCGGGAAGUGUUUUCUGAGAGCACAAAGAAGGUGUGUGAUAACCAAAGCUGUACCUCAUGCUGCAGCUGGACCACCAUGAGGCUCGGCACUGUGAGAGGCCAGGGAAGGCCAUUGGUGAAGGUGCAGCCUCAGUUGCAAUUGACGGCCCAGGACUGAAGUGGUCAUGCAAAGGAUUUGAGGCUUGGCACCAUGAAGAGAGCCUAUAAGAGGCUAUUGGUUAAGCCUAAUUGCAGAAGACCCCAGCAUUAUUGGAGAUGCCAGUACCCUGGAUGAUCACCAAGAACAGCAGCAGCAGUGGAGUGGGUCAAUCUGAGCGUAGAGUGCUGCAGAGGGCAGAGCUGGAGAAGUGACGCCAGCCCUUAGGAGGAGCCCAGAAGAUCAUGUGUGGAUCCCAGGCAUUCAAACAAGAAGCUGUAACAUUGAAGCUGCCUUGGAGAUCCCAAGGUAUUUGAGAUGCCAGAGCUGUGGGCUGUCUGCUGAGGAAAGCUGCCAACAGGGAGUGGAACCAGCCCAGGAGAAAGAACUAUACUGCUGUUGAUGAAGAUGAAAAAGGAGUGGAGAUCGGAAGGCUGCUUUGACAUCAGCCAUGGAGGUGCAGAGUUUGGAGUUUGCUCAGCUGGUUUCCUGUCUUGCUUUGGGGAUUACAGUUAAGUGAUUGGAUGAAUCUCAGCAGAGACCUUGAAUUUUGGACUUUUAACACUGUUGAGACUGCUAUAGACUAUGGGGGCCUUGGAAGUUAGAGUAAUUGUAUUUUCCAUUAUGCUAUGUUUAGGUAUGGCUAAUAUACCUGCCAUAGACUCCUGUGUUUGGAUUUGGUUUUUUCGAGACAGGGUUUCUCUGUGUAGCCCUAGCUGUCCUGGAACUCACUCUGUAGACCAGGCUGGCCUCGAACUCAGAGAUCCGCCUGCCUCUGCUUCCCAGAGUGCUGGGAUUACAGCGCCACCACCACCCAGCGACUCCUAUGUUUGAACAAGCUUCUGUGGACCAAGGAAUGUGAUGGUUUGCAUAUGCUUGGCCCAGGGAGGGGCACUAUUUGGAGGUGUGGCCUUGCUGGAGUAGGUGUGUCACCAUGGGCGUGGGCUUUAAGACUCUACUCCUAGCCAGGUAGUGGUGGCGCAUGCCUUUAAUCCCAGCACUCCGGAAGGCAAAGGCAGGCGGAUUUCUGAGUUCAAGGCCAGCCUGGUCUACAGAGUGAGUUCCAGGACAGCCAGAGCUACACAGAGAAACCCUGCUUCGAAAAAAAAACCAAAAAAAAAAAAAAAAAAAAAAAAAAAAGACUCUACUUACUCCUAGCUGUCUGGAAUUGAGUCUUCCACUAGCAGCCUUCAGAUGAAGAUGUAGAACUCUCAGCUCUGCCUGUACCAUGCCUGCCUGGAUACUGCCUUGUUCUAGCUUUGAUGAUAAUGGACUGAACCUUUGAACCUGUCAGCCAGCCUCAAUUAAAUGUUCUUAUAAGAGUU